rfam:Sporomusa sp. An4 isolate Sporomusa ovata strain An4 genome assembly, contig: SPAN4DRAFT_scaffold-5
UAGAUAGGCGUAGGCGAUUGUUUUGGAAUGCCGAUUAAUCAUGCCGUAUCCGCUGGCAUGAGUGGAAUUAGAGCUGCGGGCGAUCUCGUUGCACGAGUGC